rnacentral:rRNA from 1 species
UUCAACUUGAGAGUUUUGAUCCUGGCUCAGAACGAACGCUGGCGGCAGGCUUAACACAUGCAAGUCGAGCGCAUCCUUCGGGGUGAGCGGCGGACGGGUGAGUAACGCGUGGGAACGUGCCCUCUUCUACGGAAUAGCCCAGGGAAACUUGGAUUAAUGCCGUAUACGCCCGAA